rnacentral:rRNA from 1 species
UACGGGGGGGGCAAGCGUUGUUCGGAAUUACUGGGCGUAAAGGGCCAGUAGGCGGCCAACUAAGUCAGACGUGAAAUCCCUCGGCUUAACCGGGGAACUGCGUCUGAUACUGGAUGGCUUGAGUUUGGGAGAGGGACGCGGAAUUCCAGGUGUAGCGGUGAAAUGCGUAGAUAUCUGGAGGAACACCGGUGGCGAAGGCGGCGUCCUGGACCAACACUGACACUGAGGAGCGAAAGCCAGGGGAGCAAACGGG